rnacentral:rRNA from 1 species
AUUGAACGCUGGCGGUAUGCUUAACACAUGCAAGUCGAACGGUAACAGGCCUUCGGGCGCUGACGAGUGGCGGACGGGUGAGUAACGCGUAGGAAUCUGCCUUAUAGUGGGGGACAACGUGGGGAAACCCACGCUAAUACCGCAUACGCCCUACGGGGGAAAGGAGGGACUCGCAAGAGCCUUUCGCUAAUAGAUGAGCCUGCGUUAGAUUAGCUAGUUGGUGGGGUAAAGGCCUACCAAGGCGACGAUCUAUAGCUGUUCUGAGAGGAAGAUCAGCCACACUGGGACUGAGACACGGCCCAGACUCCUACGGGUGGCUG